AGUGAACGCUGGCGGUAGGCCUAACACAUGCAAGUCGAACGGCAGCACAGUAAGGGCUUGCUCUUACGGGUGGCGAGUGGCGGACGUGUGAGGAAUACAUCGGAAUCUACUUUUUCGUGGGGGAUAACGUAGGGAAACUUACUCUAAUACCGCAUACGACCUACGGGUGAAAGCAGGGGAUCUUCGGACCUUGCGCGAUUGAAUGAGCCGAUGUCGGAUUAGCUAGUUGGCGGGGUAAAGGCCCACCAAGGCGACGAUCCGUAGCUGGUCUGAGAGGAUGAUCAGCCACACUGGAACUGAGACACGGUCCAGACUCCUACGGGAGGCAGCAGUGGGGAAUAUUGGACAAUGGGCGCAAGCCUGAUCCAGCCAUACCGCGUGGGUGAAGAAGGCCUUCGGGUUGUAAAGCCCUUUUGUUGGGAAAGAAAAGCAGCAGGUUAAUACCCCGCUGUUCUGACGGUACCCAAAGAAUAAGCACCGGCUAACUUCGUG
rnacentral:rRNA from 1 species